rnacentral:rRNA from 1 species
AUGAACGCUAGCGACAGGCCUAACACAUGCAAGUCAGGGGCAGCACAAGGAGCAAUCUGAGGUGGCGACCGGCGCACGGGUGAGUAACACGUAUGCAACCUGCCUGUAAGCGGGGAAUAACCCGUUGAAAGACGGACUAAUACCGCAUAAUACUAAAUUACUGCAUGGCAAUUUAUUUAAACAUUUAUGGCUUACAGAUGGGCAUGCGCAUGAUUAGCUAGUUGGAGAGGUAACGGCUCCCCAAGGCAACGAUCAUUAGGGGUUCUGAGAGGAAGGUCCCCCCACACUGGUACUGAGACACGGACCAGACUCCUACGGGAGGCAGCAGUGAGGAAUAUUGGUCAAUGGACGAGAGUCUGAACCAGCCAAGUCGCGUGCAGGAAGAAUGUCCUAUGGAUUGUAAACUGCUUUUGCAGGGGAAUAAAGUGCAUCACGUGUGAUGUUUUGUAUGUACUCUGCGAAUAAGGAUCGGCUAACUCCGUGCCAGCCGCCGC